CGUCGGAAGGAUCAUUACAAAUCUUUUGCGAGAACUGUGUGCUGCUUGCAGUGCACAGUGACUUGCAACAUUAGCACAGGGUCGCAAGACUCUGAUGUUUACGCUUGUUUGUUUGACAGAGUUAGUUGAGAAUUAAAUAAAGACAACUUUUAACAAUGGAUCUCUUGGCUCUUGCAACGAUGAAGAACGCAGUAAAGUGCGAUAUGUAGUGCGAUUUGCAUGAAUCUGUGAGUCAUCUAAUCUUUGAACGCAACUUGCGCCUUUUACGAGGCAUGUUUGUUUGAGUGUCGCAAUCUUCUGCAGCAAUGCGAUUUGACACGUGUCUUUGUUGACCGAGUUUAAACAGAGCUAGAGGAUGGUCAGUUUGGACUAGUCCGAGUGCUAAGCAUUCUUGGGUCUAGGACGGAUUGGUUAUUAAAUCUAACUUUUUAUUUUUGGCCUCAAAUCAAGCAAGACUACCCGCUGAACUUAA
rnacentral:rRNA from 1 species